GAGAAAGACAUAAGGGUUAUGGUAUUGGCUUGAAACCAGUCUCAGAGGGUUCGACUCCUUCCUUUCUUA
rnacentral:tRNA from 1 species